AAGACGACGCUGCAAGAACUCACGAAAUAGAAGCACAAGUGAAGGAAAAGCAAGAAAAGACAGAGAAAGCAAAAGUGGAAUACUCAGGAAUCAUCAAACAGAGAAACAGAAAAGAAGAACCCAAGGAAGAAAAAAAUCCAAUGGAAACAGAAAAAAAUGGGAUAGAGAAGAGAGAGAGAGAGAGAGAGAGAGAGAGGGGGGGGGGGCGAAGGGUUGUGUUUUGAAUGAAAU
rnacentral:lncRNA from 1 species